UGAUGUACCAGGUUGAUCACAGUUGUU
rnacentral:sRNA from 1 species